GACGAACGCUGGCGGCGUGCUUAACACAUGCAAGUCGAACGGAAAGGCCCUGCUUUUGUGGGGUGCUCGAGUGGCGAACGGGUGAGUAACACGUGAGUAACCUGCCCUUGACUUUGGGAUAACUUCAGGAAACUGGGGCUAAUACCGGAUAGGAGCUCCUGCUGCAUGGUGGGGGUUGGAAAGUUUCGGCGGUUGGGGAUGGACUCGCGGCUUAUCAGCUUGUUGGUGGGGUAGUGGCUUACCAAGGCUUUGACGGGUAGCCGGCCUGAGAGGGUGACCGGCCACAUUGGGACUGGGAUACGGCCCAGACUCAUACGGGAGGCAGCAGUGGGGAAUAUUGCACAAUGGGCGGAAGCCUGAUGCAGCAACGCCGCGUGCGGGAUGACGGCCUUCGGGCUGUAAACCGCUUUCGCCUGUGACGAAGCGUGAGUGACGGUAAUGGGUAAAGAAGCACCGGCUAACUACGU
rnacentral:rRNA from 1 species